rnacentral:misc_RNA from 1 species
AGCAAAGAUACAUUUAAGAGAAGAAUAUAAUACAACUUAGUGCAUUAUAUCUACCUGAUUGGGUUUGGCAUUGAAUUUCUUAAUAUUCUCUUAUGAGAUCUUGAAUUCAUCUGAAAGGGCAUGCCGCCUUGCAAAGCAAGCGUUCGAUGAAGCAACAUCAAAGCUUGACAAUUCACCCAAACUCAUGAAUGUUACCUGGCAAGCAUUCCCAAUCAUCACCCUAAAGCAGCCCCAGUAGCAAGAGCAUCCUUUCCGAUGGCAUUCCCUGUCUUCAAACAUAAUCUAUCUCAGGUAUAGUAUUCUCUAGUGGCAUCUCCACUGCCAUCUCCCAGAUUCCCAUCACAUCACAUUCAUCACCAUCAUCGCGGUCAUCCUCAUUCUCUUCAAUAAGAGUAUCUGUCAAUAAUAUUCAUAACCAUACUAACCAAGAGAUUCAAUGUCAGAGUUGUUAUCUUCAUAUCAAAUUUGAACUUUGAAGGUGCCCUAUUGAUUCCAUGCAAUUCAUCAUUGCCGCUGUCAAUGUCCAGCAAGUUGGAUCUAUUUGAGCAGAAGAUUAAAGAGAUAACGGUGGUCAUUGGAGGAAAACGGUUGUCAGUGGUCACGUGACCACGUGACUAAGGUUUGGUUCAAAGUGAACUAGUAUAUAUUAAUUUUAGAGUUAAAACUGUCAUUUUAAAUAGUUAAAAGGCUUCUUUAGACUCAAAAUAAAUUUAAGGGUUUAUUUAAUUUUUGAGCAAUAGUUAAAGGGGGCAAAUAGGCCUUUUGCCUAUUGACAAUAUAUAGUUAUUGGAGAGGAGAGGGGAUAUAUA